ACGAACGCUGGCGGCAGGCCUAACACAUGCAAGUCGAACGCCCUAGCAAUAGGGAGUGGCAGACGGGUGAGUAACGCGUGGGAACCUUCCCUAUGGCGCGGAAUAACUCGCCGAAAGGCGUGCUAAUACCGCAUAAGCCCGCAAGGGGAAAGAUUUAUCGCCAUAGGAUGGGCCCGCGUAGGAUUAGCUAGUUGGUGAGGUAAUGGCUCACCAAGGCGACGAUCCUUAGCUGGUGAGAGAAUGACCAGCCACACUGGGACUGAGACACGGCCCAGACUCCUACGGGAGGCAGCAGUGGGGAAUCUUGGACAAUGGGCGCAAGCCUGAUCCAGCCAUGCCGCGUGAGUGACGAAGGCCUUCGGUUGUAAG
rnacentral:rRNA from 1 species